UUGCUUUGGUGAUUUUCUUGAAACCGGAGAUGGUUUUUUCUUGUCUAAGCUUGUCGUGGUGAGAAAAGUCGACGAUGAUGACUCCAUGUUCGGUUCCUGUAAGAGAAUUCAGAUGUUUAUAUGUGUGUUUUGAUUUAUUUUCUUAACCAAAUCUCUAGCUUCGACGAUUAUAUAUAUAAUGUUUUACUUUUUCAUAUGUUUGGAAGGUGAGAGGAAAUUAAUGGGAAGGAGAGGUUGCGGAUAAAAGGGAACAAACGUAUUGAAUGACGGCGCGUGUAGCUCACAUGUCUUCCGAUAGGUGGGAUGAUUCGAAAUAUCUAACUUUUGAAGAUUAGAGCGUAAAUCUCACUCGCGGGAACAGUCGCGUGGUGGGGAAAGGGAAGAAUAGAGAUAGGUUAAGUGGUGAUCAAGGCGAGCCGGCGGCUGCUCUCUCAUCUCAUGGAGCUAUCGUUGAAGCUCCUCCACGUGAAUGCAACUCUCAUCCAAAUUACGACGUCUUACAUGACAUCACCAUAACCCUUACGAGGUGACGUCACUCAACCGGUCACUGAAGUAUAACAUGUCAAUUCGUUUUUUUUUUUAACAUCAAAAUUUGAACUGGUAAGUGAUUUUAAGAUACAUUCACUUCAAAUUGUAAAGUUAC
rnacentral:lncRNA from 1 species